rnacentral:rRNA from 1 species
GUGGGGAAUAUUGGACAAUGGGGGGAACCCUGAUCCAGCCAUGCCGCGUGUGUGAAGAAGGCCUUUUGGUUGUAAAGCACUUUAAGCGAGGAGGAGGCUACCGAGAUUAAUACUCUUGGAUAGUGGACGUUACUCGCAGAAUAAGCACCGGCUAACUCUGUGCCAUCAGCCGCGGUAAUACAGAGGGUGCAAGCGUUAAUCGGAUUUACUGGGCGUAAAGCGCGCGUAGGUGGCCAAUUAAGUCAAAUGUGAAAUCCCCGAGCUUAACUUGGGAAUUGCAUUCGAUACUGGUUGGCUAGAGUAUGGGAGAGGAUGGUAGAAUUCCAGGUGUAGCGGUGAAAUGCGUAGAGAUCUGGAGGAAUACCGAUGGCCAAGGCAGCCAUCUGGCCUAAUACUGACACUGAGGUGCGAAAGCAUGGUGAGCAAACAGGAUUAGAUACCCUGGUAGUCC